ACAGAAGCUUUUGCGUUGAAGGCUUUAAUCGAUCCCACCUGCUCAACAAGGCUUGGCAAGAUGGUCUCGAGUGUUUGACUCCAAGAAGAUGUAAUCCAAGAAGAUUUAAUCAAGCAAAUCUUCUUCUAUGUUUGUGUAAUCUUGUGUUCUCUGUCUCAUCUUGUUGGUCAUAAAGAGUGAAAGAGUGUAGCAUUGUAGUCACGGACAAGCUCAGUCUCAUGUAGUCUCACUGGAGUGAAGCUUGUAGUCUUCUGUAUUAAUAUGUCAAUGUUCUUGUAGUCUUGUGAUCUUCUCGUGUGUGGUGGUCACGGGAGUGGAGCUUGUGAUCUUCUGUAUUCAUGUGUCAAUGUUCUUUGUAUUCUGGUAGGGGAGUGAAGCUUGUAUUAUGCUCAACUUUUUUUUUAAUAAAAUUAUAUUGAAUAGUUUUUAAUU